GGAGAUGAAAAAAAUAGCAUUAUUGCUCCAUGAACAAUAGUUUUUCUUUUAAUUUAGGAUGUGUACUUUACCUCCAAACCACCACUGUGCUUUCUGAGAGUAUGGAGUGUGAAGAGUAAAGUCUUGGUGUCUUAAUCUAAGAAAAGUUGUGACACUGUAUUUCCCAAAGAAUCUGGGAAGCAAAGAGCAUUCCAUUUUCCCUGCUCACUGCCAAAGUGUUGAUGAUUAUGUGCUGGACCUACUGAAUUUCACAGCAUAGUGUGGUCCACGGAUUACAUACAGACUGCAAACGUAUUUGAUGACAACAAUCCCAGAUUUUGUCUAGUUUCACCUUAAGUCAGUAGGACGAUUUCCAUUGACUUCUUUUGAGGUUUUUUUGUGAUGAGUGUCUGCUAUUAUCGUAUUGAAUUGAUGGUUAUUUUUAUGUAGUAAUGGAGCUUUAGCUAAGAAAUGUCAGAUUUGUUUAUUUCUUUCCGUCAGUGACAUUUUAUGUUCAUUAAUGAUACAUCUAAACUAGAGAAAUAGAAAGGAGAGUGAAUUGUAUAGCUAAAAAAAAAAGUUGGUUUAGCUACCAGCAAUAUGCCAGCAUGUCUGCAAAACUCCACUUAAAUUCAGUAAGUAAUUGAGCUUAUCUCCUCAUACACAGGACACUAUUAUUAGCAAAGCAUUUAAUUAGCUGUCUACUGAAUUACAGUUGAAAGCCAAACACCUCCUCUGGCAUUUCCUGAGAAGUCUGUCUGUAGUUCUCAGAGCAACAAUUUUGGGAUUGCAUGUGGCUGAGUAAGAUUUUACUGCAGGAAGCUUUAUCAUAAGCUUACAUGUAUUAUUAUUGCCAGCCUAAAAAAGCACAUUUUUUGAAAGUUCCUAAGGCAAAAUUAUGCUGAUUUGGCUUCAUCUAUGAAAGAAAGGGUCUAGAAAAUGGCCCAAAAAGGUAAUAUGUAAUAUAAACCUUCAGGAUACUUUAAUUUGUCCAAUACCAUUUAUCCUGCCCCUGCUCCAGCACAGCUAAUGAAUGAAUGAGGGGCUUAAGAAAAAGCUCUUGAGGAGCAUCCUCC